UUGUCCUUAGUUACCAGCACGUUAUGGUGGGCACUCUAAGGAGACUGCCGGUGACAAACCGGAGGAAGGUGGGAUGACGUCAAGUCAUCAUGGCCCUUACGGCCUGGGCUACACACGUGCUACAAUGGUCGGUACAAAGGGUUGCCAAGCCGCGAGGUGGAGCUAAUCCCAUAAAACCGAUCGUAGUCCGGAUCGCAGUCUGCAACUCGACUGCGUGAAGUCGGAAUCGCUAGUAAUCGUGAAUCAGAAUGUCACGGUGAAUACGUUCCCGGGCCUU
rnacentral:rRNA from 1 species